AGGAAAAAUCAUUUAAUUUGAUCCAGCUAUGCAAAAACCUUUGGUUUUGGGUGGGAUUGAGCAGCCAAACCCCAGAGCCUCCAGCCCUGAUGGACUGCACUGGAGUCCACCUGGUGCUGCACACGCUGUGGGUGGUCAUCGAAGUUUCACGUGCAAUUGCUGCUCCCCUGAAAGAAGUGCUCCCCAGGAUGGAGCCACUGAAUGCUGUGAGGGGAUGGGGCCCCAAAGAUGCAAUUCUGGCAACAUCCUGGCGGCCCUGUGGGGUCCCUCGGGGGAAAUAAAGGUGGCACUGGCCAUCAGCAGAGGUUUCAGAUGUGACAAUAAAACACACCUUGGACAUCCC